rnacentral:tRNA from 1 species
GGAGAGAUGGCCGAGUGGUUGAUGGCUCCGGUCUUGAAAACCGGCAUAGUUUUAAAAACUGUCGAGGGUUCGAAUCCCUCUCUCUCCU